rnacentral:lncRNA from 1 species
UCACAUUGGAGAGCAGACAACCCAACAUAAAAAGUGUCAAUUAAAAUAACAUUUCCAAUGGAAUAUAAUAAAAAUCAAAGAUAUACAGUGAAUGUGACAUGAUGUACAAAAAUUAAUGCAAAAUAUACAUACCAACUCGGAGUGAAGCCUAAUAAAUUCUAGAAAUCUCUGUACCAAGUUGGUUAAUUUUUUGAGGGCCUUCCUUAAAAAUUUUGCCCCUGUUUCAUCUUCAACGACCUCCGAUAUUUAAUCAUGUACUAUCUCCUUUGUAAAAAUUUGGAGACCUCCUCAAAAUAUUUUGCCGCAGUUUCCGUUUUCAAAUUUUGGAAAGCUUACAGGGAAGAUGACUGAUAUGGCACCUACAUAUCCCAUAGAAAAAGGAAUCAAGUCAAACGUAGUUCCAACAGAUUGUAACUCGAAUAGGGAAUGGACUGAGAUUACGAUUGUUCUAAAACUAGCUGACCAAGAAAGAUUUUGAAUGACUGGGAACCCAAGUGGACAACUUAGGUUGGAAGUCGUGACAACUUUUCGACGCACGACGAACCAAUAAAUUGUCCAUUAUUUUGAAAAAGGAUUGAGUAUAGAAAAGUCCGGCCUACGAAUCCCAAAACCUUUUUUUAAUAUGCUAUACCUUACAAUGCUGGAAAAAAAGCCAUGAAUGCAAUGAAAAUAUACAAUAAAAUGAAUGAAUAUAUAGUAGAAUAUGCAAAUAAUCAACAAAAUAUACAAGAUAUAAUUAACAACAUAAUAAAAGAAUGAUAUCCAAAUUUUAAAUAAUUAACCCACAAUGCUUACAACCUUUAUAUCCCAUCAUAGUCGUCAUUCUGUUGACAUCAUUUGAAUUAGAAGCAAUGUAAAGGUGAAUAAAUUAAAAAAAAGAAUUUACGCAAAAUAAUUUUUAAGAACGUGUAAAGGAGGGGUGGGGUAAAAUGAGUUUAAAGAGAUUAAAGGAAAAAAGGAGUCACCACCCAAUAUUUAGGAAAACUAGGAAACCAAUUAAUAAAUUAAUUUGAAAAAUAGUCUACAUUUUAGAUAAGGGGUUCAAAUUAUUCCAAAGGAAUAGGUAUCCUUAUGAAUGCACAAAUGUGGUUCUCGACUAAGUUCAUUUUUUUCAAAUUUAGGAGGAAAAUAAAAUUAAGUAUAAAUAUAAUACACAUGCAAUAUACACAGUAAAAAUAAAAUAAUAAUAUCGGUCUAAGGUUUGCCUAACAUCGAUAUACAAAAUAAUGAAUUGAAAAAUAUAAUUUUAUAUCCUUACGAAUAAUUUCAAGGAAGCAAGUCUUGGGUACCUAUAAACACACUUAGUGAAAUUUUUAGUAAUAAAUAAAUAUGAAUAAAAUUUAAUAUAUGAAAUAAUAACAUAAAAAUAAAAACUCGUCUUAUUAACAUUGGAGGCCUUGUAAAUCGGCGGUAAUUUCUUUAUCAGUCAAUUUCAACAUAAAAAAUAUGUAGACUUCAACUAAAAUUCCAUCUUAAUAAAAUGGGGAGGCCUCCAAAACCGAUGGAGAGAUUUUCUCAUUGGUCAUUUCAAUAAUUUUAACAAACAAGUUAUAUAAAAUUAAACUAAAAAUUUCCGCCAUUUAAUAUUGGGUAGGCCUCCAAAACAGACGGAGUGUUUGGUCAUUGGCCAAUUCUAAUAACUAAAAUAUAUAAACUUAAAUUAAAUUUCCGUAUUUUAAAAUGGAAAGGCCUCUAAAAUCUACGGAGAGUUUUUUCAUUUAACAAAUUUAACAAAUAUAUAAUAUGAACUCAAAAAUAAAUUUUUUACUAAAAAAAAAAGAAGUGCGCAGUAAGCAAUGACAAAUAAUAAGUGUGAAUUGUGAAUUGGUGAUCUUCUUUGUUUUAGAAACAAAGAAAGAAACAUAAAUAAAUAAUAGUAAUUAAACGAACAUGAAAAGUAACCAAACUAAACAAUUCAUUAGUACAAUUAAGAACAUUUAAUAUAAGUUCACUAGUAAUAUUGAAAUUUAAAUAAACGAAGAUGAUAAAAUAACAAAUAAAUACAACAACUAAUGAAUGGUUAAAAUAGAGAUUUUAAUAACAUAAACAAAUAAUGAAUAAACAUAGCAAAAACAUAACUCCCAUAGUGUUAUAGUGGUUGAAAAUUCAAAUUAAGUAAUAAUAAUUAAUUUUAAAAAAAGCAACAUUAACUAAUAAUAAGGUAUAGCCGCAACAAAUAAAAUUUAUCUAUUAAUUAUAAAAAUUAAUGAUAAUGCCAAAAUAAUAUUAACCAAGUAACAAUAGUGAAUAGUUAAAUAAACUAAUGAACUCAAAAUGAAGUGGAACAACGAUAUAACUGUGAAUCAACAUUACCAAAACGACAUUCCAAAUGACAUGAUUAAUGGCAAAAUAUUUUUUAACAAAAGAUAAAUAAAAAUAACAAUAUUAAAGAAGAACACAUAAUCAACUACAAAUAGAUAAUAUUGUUGGGUUUUAUUUGCCCUGAUUUCUUACCAUAAAUAGGUUUUCCUUUUAGGAAAAUGUUUUGAAUUGACUAUUCUUUUUUUGGUAGAAAAAGAUUUAGGACUCUAUAAAUAGAGGCAUGUUCCUUCUAACUUAAUUAGCAUUCACAAUGUAGUUUUAAGGGCUUUGAGAGUUUUGGUUAGAGGGAGAAUUUGUGAACCUCUCAUGUAUUCCGAGUGAAUUGAUGAGGUUGUUUCCCUCUGUAUUUUGUACUCUCAUGUUUAUAGUUGAUUGCUCAUCUCCUUUGUGGACGUAGGUCGAUUGACCGAACCACGUUAAAUCUUUGUGUCUUUUGGUAUAUUUCUCGUUGUCUUCUUACUCGUGGUCUUUCGAGGUUUGCUUUGCUAGCUUCCGCGUUUACACCUGCUUAUUUUCCGGUCCUAACACGUGGUAUCAGAGCCAGAUUCAAUGAUGUAGUCAGGUGUAGUGGUUCGAUAAUCGAUGAUUGAACCAAGUUAGAAAGAGGUGUUCAUCUUGACGGGUGUAGUUCUAGCCGCAACCUUUUUGACAGUAAUGAAGAUUUUGUUGGAGAAAUUGUUUCAGAGAGAUUCUCUGUGUUGAGACAUAAAUUUUGAAAAGGAGAUUAUGGAGAGGAGAAGCAAGUUGUUGAAGAUUAAGUAAAGAAGGUGAACAAAUUUAUUUUGUCAGAAAUUCAGGCCAAGGGGGAGAUUUGUUGGGUUUUAUUUUCCCUGAUUUCUUACCAUAAAUAGGUUUUACUUUUAGGAAAAGGUUUUGAAUUGACUAUUCUUUUUUUGGUAGGAAAAUAUUUAGGACUCUAUAAAUAGAGGCAUGUUCCUUCUAACUUAAUUAGCAUUCACAAUGUAGUUUUAAGGGCUUUGAGAGUUUUGGUUAGAGGGAGAAUUUGUGAACCUCUCAUGUAUUCUGAGUGAAUUGGUUGAGGUUGUUUCCCUCUGUAUUUUGUACUCUCAUGUUUAUAGUGGAUUGCUCAUCUCCUUUUUGAACGUAGGUCGAUUGACCGAACCACGUUAAAUCUUUGUGUCUUUUGGUAUAUUUCUCGUUGUCUUCUUACUCGUGAAAAUGCAAUUUGAACUUUGAAACAGUCCACAAUGUUUUUUGAACAAAUAUCAACUAUGAAACAGUCCACAACGUUGUUUUGACAAAUAUGGAGCAUAAAAAUAAAAUGAUGUCAACGUGAAAGGUAUGACUACCCAAAAUAAAAAAAUGUCGUUUUAAGGGGUAUGACUAUCAAAAAUGCAAUUUAAACUUUGAAACGUUCCACAAAAUUAUUUGGAAAAAUAUCAACAAUGAAACAAUACACAAAGUUGUUUGGACAAAAAUCGAAAAAGUGGAUUAUCAUUUUUAUCUUUUGAACAAUGAAACAUAUGAUAUCUUGGUUAGCACCAACAAAAGUAUUGUACAAAAGUUUCUUGCAAUUCUAAUUCUUUACUGUAAUUGAUUUCGAGGUAAUUCCUAUAGAUUCAUGUGGUACCUCAAAUAUUCUUAAGUAACCAAAAAAAUUGUUCAUCUUGCUUCAGGUAAAGGCAUUGAACUAGACCUCUCAUCAUAUUUCAAUUGCCCUCACAAGAAAGAAAUUUUCAAUUUUCACUUAUUUAAAGUGUUUUGAUUUGGGAGCAUCUAAAAAAACACACUUAUACGCAAAAAAAUGUGCAACGGAUGCAAUUGUGAUACCAUAUGCUUGACCUUAAUGUAAAUCUCCACUAAUGUGAGAAAAUUAGAAUUGAAAUCAUGUAGGGCUUGUUAAUUGCUUGUAAUGUAGGCUUAGGAACGGGUAAGAUACUCAUUUGGGAUAAAAGGGACUUAUUCCCUUCUUUAGCAUUGCAACUAAAUAGAUGCUUUAACGAUUUAUUACGCUUUCAGCGUUUGAUUCUCUUUGUUGUCCCUUCCUUAUGCAUUGUUGACUUCUUUGGAACUUUGUAUGUCUGAGUUUUUGCCUUUUGAAUUUUCUUCUUUUUGUUUGGAUUGUUUAUUUUGUUUUCUUCAAAUUCUGCUUGCUAAAACAUGUGGGGAAUUUUGAAUACUUCUUUUUUUUUCUUUCUUUUAAAGUCAUUUUUGUUUUCUUGACAUUUCGGUAUUUUAAUAACUUUUGUCUUUGACAAAAAUGAACUUUGAAUCAUCGCUUAUAACUUGCAUGUCUUCUGUGCGCCCAAGAAAAUAAGGCAAAAAGAGGGAUAGUUCAUAAAAGCACUUAGAAAGGGUAUAGUCUAAGAUGUGGUUGUCCAAAGUAAAGACUUAAGCCUCAAAAUGGGACACACUAAGGGUAUAUAUUAUUUGGCAGGCUUUGAAAGGCUCAAAUGGGUCAAACAAGGCGUACAUCAUUUUUCAAAUCAAUCAAAUAAUGAAUAAACAGAGCAAAACAUAACCCCAUAGUGUUAUAGUGGUUGGAAAAUUCAAAUAAAUUAAUAAUAAUUAAUUUUAUAAAAAGCAACAUUAACUAAUAACAAGGUAUAGGCAACAAUAAAUAAAAUUUAUCUCUUAAUUAUAACAAAUACCGAUAAUACCAAAAUAAUAUCAACCAAGGAACAAUGGUGAAUAGUCCCACUAACUAAUGAAGUCAAAAUAGAGUGGAACAACGAUAUAACUGUAAAUAAACAUAUCCAAAACGACAUUCCAAAUGACAUGAUUAAUGGCAAUAUAAUUAUUAUCAAAACAUAAAUACAAAUAACAAUAAUAAAGAAGACAACAUAAUCAACUACAAAUAGAUAAUAUAGGGUUCAUUAGACCAAGUUUCUACACAAAAUCAAUUGCAAUUAUAGGAAGACAACACCACGAAAAUCCUUAAAUAAGAUUAGAAACUUCUGUAUCGUAAUUAAAAACUACGCUAAAAUGAAUUAAAUCAAAGCAUUAUGCCAACAUAUUUUGAUAUGAAACAAUAUUAACACAUAAAAAUAAAUGGACCCAAAUAUGUAAACAAAAAAAACGAAGGAAAGAGAAUAAGAAGUGCAGAGGAACACCUUGGUAAAAGAGGAUGACGAAGAGCUUGCUCAAUCUCGAUUUCGCUGGAGUUAUUUAUUUUAUGUCGAUAAGCCUAAAAUAUUGCUGCCAUUUUUUGGAGCAAAUAUCCUGAUGGUUCAUUCAAAUGCAAACAAAAUUGGAUAGAAAAUGUAAAGGGGAAAGAGGAUGGGGUUUGUGGUGCAUCUGGAAAGGGAAAAAAAUGGAAGAAUGAAGGUUGGUUUGGUGGUUUAUGGUCGGGUUUUUGGACUGUGUUGUUGAUCGAUUUUGGGUGGUUGUUGGUUAAGGUUUGGGUAUGGUUUAGGAGUGGGUUGUGGUGGUUAUUUCAGUUGUGUUUUGUAUGCUAAAAUGGGGAAGAAGAUGACUGGUUUCAGUUAGAGCUUGGUCGGAAAAGUGGGAAAAAGAAGACCUGGCAGCGUCUGGAGAGAGCUGCUGGCAGCAGCUAUGAACAAGAUGACAGUUUGGUCUACUGACUGUUUUCGUGUGGUUCUUUGCUGGAAAAAUGUUAAAACAAAACGGGGUUUUGGGGCUUGCCAAAAAAGUCUCCGGUGAGGGUGGUGGCCCAAAAAUAAAAGCAUCAAAGAAUUUCUUAAAACAUUAAUCUAAUAAUUAUCCCCUAAAUCUUUA